rnacentral:rRNA from 1 species
AGUGAACGCUGGCGGUAGGCCUAACACAUGCGAGUCGAACGGCAGCACAGUAAGAGCUUGCUCUUACGGGUGGCGAGUGGCGGACGGGUGAGGAAUACAUCGGAAUCUACUUUUUCGGGGGGGAUAACGUAGGGAAACUUACGCUAAUACCGCAUACGACCUACGGGUGAAAGCAGGGGAUCUUCGGACCUUGCGCGAUUGAAUGAGCCGAUGUCGGAUUAGCUAGUUGGCGGGGUAAAGGCCCACCAAGGCGACGAUCCGUAGCUGGUCUGAGAGGAUGAUCACCCACACUGGAACUGGGACACGGUCCAGACUCCUACGGGAGGAAGCAGUGGGGAAUAUUAGACAAUGGGCGCAAGCCUGAUCCAGCCAUACCGCGUGGGUGAAGAAGGCCUUCGGGUUGUAAAGCCCUUUUGUUGGGAAAGAAGAGCAGCAGGUUAAUACCCCGCUGUUCUGACGGUACCCAAAGAAUAAGCACCGGCUAACUUCGUG